AUCCAGGGAUGGGAAUCGAACCCACAAUGUUCCACUUACCGGGCAGAUGCCAUGUCCACUAGGCUACCCUGGA
rnacentral:tRNA from 1 species